AAUGCACUAGGGAGGUUAAUAUGAUGAGUCUAGGGAGAAUAAUAGCCAAAGAUUAAAAGUUCCCCAGAACAGAGAUUCCCAGGAGCCAAGGUGUUACCAACUAAAAAAAUCAAAUAAGUUAUAAUCAGAUUCAGGUUUUACCUUUCUAAGCCAAUCUGCAUUUUUUUUGAUAAUGUGUAACUGGGUUUCAUUUUUUUUGAGUUAUUUACAUAGGCACAGUGUGCUAUAUUAGCAAUAACAUAUACUCAUGUUUACAUAGGACAGGAUAUAACAUGAGGAUAUCAUUUCAGGAGCAGUAUCACAGGUAGCUUCCAUGUGAGUUAAGCCUUUAAAUGGUGUGAGAAAUCUGGCAUCUAAUAAAAGCAAUCUGUGGAAACAGAAAAACAAAGGUUAAUAGUGGCAGCAAAUUACAAACUUAGUUUUUGAGUCCAGAAUGCAGCCAGUUGAGAAAAUUUCUUGAUUUAAUUUUGAAGCAUCUUUACAUGGUGGAAUGAGGAUGACACUUUCAAUCCGAUGGGUUCUCCUGGUUUCCUCCAGUAUUUGGCUGCAACUCUUCAGACUAGCUUUUCCAAUUUUCUUCUACUCUUCUGACUUGCAAUCACUAAAAAUGAAAACGACCCUUUUCCCAAAGUCCUAAAACUGAAGGUAGAUGACUUAAUAUAACCUUUAGAGAACUCGCCAUAACACGCCAUGGAUGGACACUCUUCAUGCCUGUUGCUGUGUGGGCCACUCAGACAGUUCACCAGAACACUCGUUGCCAUCAUCAAGGACAGUUAAACUGCAACCCAGGAGAACCCAUCGGAUUGAAAGUGUCAUCCUCAUUCCACCAUGUAAAGAUGCUUUGAAAUUAAAUCUAGAAGUUUUCUCAACUGGCUGCAUUCUGGACUCAAAAACUGUUUGUAAUUUGCUGCCACUAUGAACCUUUGUUUUUCUCUUGUUUCCACAGAUUGCUUUUAUUAGAUGCCAGAUUUCUCACACCAUUUAGAGGCCUAACUCAGGUGGAAGCUACCUGCAAUACUGCCUCCUGAAAUGACAUCCUCAUGUUUAUCGUGUUCUAUGUAAACAUGAGUAUAUGUUAUUGCUAAUAUAGCACACUGUGCCUAUGUAAAUAACUCAAAAAUGAAAUCCAAUUACACAUUAUCAAAAAAAUGCAGAUUGGCUUAGAAAGGUAAAACCUGAAUCUGAUUAUAACUUAUUUGAUUUUUUUAGUUGGUAACACCUUGGCUCCUGGGAAUCUCUGUUCUUGGGAACUUUUAAUCCUUGGCUAUUAUUCUCCCU
rnacentral:lncRNA from 1 species